rnacentral:rRNA from 1 species
UCAGGGAAACUUGUGCUAAUACCGAAUGUGCCCUUCGGGGGAAAGAUUUAUCGCCUUUAGAGCGGCCCGCGUCUGAUUAGCUAGUUGGUGAGGUAAAGGCUCACCAAGGCGACGAUCAGUAGCUGGUCUGAGAGGAUGAUCAGCCACAUUGGGACUGAGACACGGCCCAAACUCCUACGGGAGGCAGCAGUGGGGAAUCUUGCGCAAUGGGCGAAAGCCUGACGCAGCCAUGCCGCGUGAAUGAUGAAGGUCUUAGGAUUGUAAAAUUCUUUCACCGGGGACGAUAAUGACGGUACCCGGAGAAGAAGCCCCGGCUAACUUCGUGCCAGCAGCCGCGGUAAUACGAAGGGGGCUAGCGUUGCUCGGAAUUACUGGGCGUAAAGGGAGCGUAGGCGGACAUUUAAGUCAGGGGUGAAAUCCCGGGGCUCAACCUCGGAAUUGCCUUUGAUACUGGGUGUCUUGAGUAUGAGAGAGGUGUGUGGAACUCCGAGUGUAGAGGUGAAAUUCGUAGAUAUUCGGAAGAACA